UCGGGUACAACCAAAACAGCUUGGACUGUUUUUUGUUUCCUGGCCUGUUUUGUUCGGGUUUUUUUUCCAGUCAUGUAUGAAGCAAUGAAAAGAGAUCACAGGAAAACCCAUCUCUUUGCUCAUUAUGCUUCCUGCUGUUUGGUGUGGAGCUACUCACAUGAGAGAUGGGGAUGAUAUGCAGUUGACAUAAAGGGGAAUCAUGCAAAUUAAUUUGUUUUGAAAACCUUCACCCUGAGAAUUCAGAUGAUGCAGAAGCAAUGGAAUGAGGUAUCAAGUAACCAUCCCAGCUGAGAACAUAGUGAAAUGACAGGAGAGCAGAUCCACACAGCUACAGUGGGAGGGUUUCAACCACCCAAGCCUCAUGUACAGCCUGGUGGAUUCCUCCUGCAGGUUUGGAAAGGCAGACAAGAAGCUACUAUGCACAUGGACAUGGUUAUACCACAAAGGCUGAAGUGGGGAGGUCCGCAUGUUGCUAACUGAAGCAAUCUAGAGACUGAAUGAGAUGAAGAGUCUCCUCCACAUGAUAUCUCGUCCCUAAACCAAGACACAUCCCCUGCCUGCAAACAGAGCCAUUGCACAAAUUGAAUAUUUCCCACAGUUUGUAGACCCAGCCAGGCUCCUGCAGUUCCCAGGAUAGCUGCACAGAAGCAGCAGCAGCUCUUUAUCUUUUCCAUUCUAGAACUGAAUGAUGUGAGAGAUUCCCAGUUUUGUGAAAAAACAAUGACUGGAACAGUCCAAAUAAUGCUAUCUGAUACAAUGGACCGCCAAAAUGUUUUCUGGGGCUUUAUAUUUUCCUUAAAAAGAGAAUGUCUCAAAGAAAUUAUCUUCAUACUGUGACUUUACCAGGUACGAUUUUAAAUCUUGUCCCUUUCUACCAAAAGUACGCAGCACUGAAAGGCAAAGUUCACUGUAUAAUAUUAAGAAGACUGCAGCCCCAUUAAGAUAAAAGUUCCAAAGAGGGAAACUAGUUGAGGCUGUUGCCUAAACCAAUCCCAUCAGGCCUCCUGCUGAAGGUAUAUAUUCUACUGAAGAAAAAAUCACUAUAUGUGUUUUCUGCUUUGUAGCAAUGCUUUUCUUUUUAAUCUAGCUGUUUUUGUUCUUGUCCUUUUAUUCCAAGCAAACAAAAAUGAAUUCUUAGCAACCUGGGAAUAUAUUUCCUAAUGCCCUGUAGCAAAUACACUUUUUUCAGUCAUAUAGACUACUGGAGAGGGAAAAUGAACCCUUUAUGUGGUAAGCAAAGACAUCUAAAAAUGGAAAAUGACAAGGGAAGUUUUCUGACCAAGAGUAGUUACACUUAAUAGAAGUAUUUUCUAUUUGCAGAGCAGGUAAGCUUGACUCCCCAGUUCUUCAGGUUUGAUCUAAAGCAGGAGCUGCAGUGUGUGAUCUCCGUGGAACUGAAGUGCAAGAAGGUCACUCAUGGACCUGGCCUUAAGAAGGAACAAGCUUUUAAAACUUGUUUGCUUACCCACUCUCUGUAUGGGACAUACAGCAUAGUUUUAGUGGCUCCAUGUGGAAAUGUGCGAGAGCAAAAUAUACAGUGCGGUUGUAGAAGCAUCAAGUAAAUCUUCAUCAAAAUAUUUUAGGUUGUAGCACUACAGUAAACCCUGCAAGCCAAAUCAUUAAUGUGAAAGCUUGCAUUAACAAUAAUGGAGUUUUAUUGGCGUAAGAGUGUGGCGUACACAACUGGCAUGAGAUGAUUUUUGUUGUUCUGCUUCAUGGUCUAAUGCACUGAAUAUGAAAAACAAACUUCAAUAGGGCUGGGAGGCAGAAAUGGGGAAGGCACUGUGUUGAUUUGUGCUACCCAAGUUAGCACUCCUCUCCAGCCACAUCACUCUGACUAGCGUGUCAAGUGUCACUGUAGGCUGACCCCUAUGACCAGCAAAGGAUUUGCAAUACUUCAUGAUAGGCACUUUGAUCCCUUUUCCAGUGCUCAGGUUAGGCUGCCUAUAGGUUGGUGCAUGUCCUCAUUUUGUACCUCAAAUCAGCUGCACUGUGCUAUUUUUAUGGGAGCUUUGCCUUUGAGGAGCGAUUCAGAGUGCCCUCAGUUACCUUUAUUUUUAGAUAAGAGGAGAACACAAUCCCUGUUUCUCAUAUUGCAGUUCAGUGGCUGGAACAUCUGUCCAGGAGGUGGAAAACUCCUUUGGAGUCUAAUGUCAUUGAGCUAAAAUGUCUGAAACCCAGUUCCCUGCCCUAUCCACAGCAGCCUGCAGCACAGGCAGAGGAAUUGAGGGCUUUCCUCCAUGCCUCUCACUGUGACUGUGUCACUGCAAAAAAACAAGAGUCACAGGAACUCCAAAAACUGGAGCAAAAAAGAGAAGGCUUUGAGGCUUGGCAGUAAAGGAGGAAUGAGUAGCAAUGGCUCUUCCAUUCUGCCAUAUUUACAACUUUCAGCAAAAGCAUAUGAAUCAGUCCCAUGGACUUCAGAAAAUGAAACAACCUGUUUGAAGCUUGGUCAGAAUCUACUCUGUGUACUAGGGGAUAAGAAUUGCUGACUUCACUUCCAUUAGGUGGCUUUUGAACACACUGUCUUAUCUGAGUGUUCUACAGUACUGGGGGAAACCUACCAUAAACUAGACUAAUUUCAUGUAUAUUUGUUUAAAAGAAACCUUUCGCUUAAAAGUGGUUAAAAGCCCUUCUACUUUAUAAAUAAAUCAUCUAGACAUCUUCUGUUGUUGCUAAUUUUUGUAUACUUCUUGAAUGUGAUGAAGUAAUUGCACAACCAGAGAGGACAAUUAUAUUUUAUUGCUAUGAGAAAUUCCAUGAUUUCUGACAAUGAAGUUAUUUAGCAAUAGGCAGUGCUGAUCUGCCUGUGUGUCAGGUGUAUACACAUAACUGUGUACUAGUGUUGUUCAAUACAAUUUAUAUUGUUUGACUGAAACAAACAGAUCUAUUUUACCCUCUAAAUUUCUAGUACAUGAUAAAUAUAUGCCACUCUUGUAUUACCAUAAGGCUGUUUUCACAAAGUCUGGGCAGUAAAGGGAUUCAUAUAGAGAAAGUUCAUGUUGCAAUUAUCAAGGCUUUCCAUUCCUUGCACUGAUGUUUUUCAUUUUUAUUUUUAUGUUUAUUUUUAUUGAAGGUUUAUAAUGUUAUUUUCAUUUCUGUAAUGACAGUCCCUCUAAAUAAACAGGAAAUAAAAUGUGAUCAAACACCAGUCAGUCAUUUUCUGGUAAUUUGUUUGAAGACUAGAGAACCUAACUUACAUUAUUUAAGUGCAAGGCAAAGUGCAGUAAAAUGUAACUGCUCUCCAGUAUACUGGACACAACUGUGACAGCUGUGUUGCUGAGAAUCUUUGUACAACUCUGUAUGUGCUCAGACAUAUAUUCAUUUCUCCAUUUAUUACUUGAACAGGACAUAAGCACAUGUGGACUACUUUUGCUCAUUUAUAUAAAUCCAGCAAAACUUCACCAGAAAGUGUAUUAAAAUAAUUUAGAUUGGAGUUCAACUUUAUGAAAACCUGUGAUUUUCAGAGUCUAAGAGAGGAAUAGCAUCAUGUCUACCUUUUGCAUGUGUCUCCACUGUUCCAUCAUUCAUGUAUCUCCUCUGUCCCCUUACCUCCGUGAGACAGGCUUUUUAAAGGCUUUUACUCUAUUUGUGUUUUGAGGUGAAGUUUCUGAAGCUGUAUGAAGAUGCACUUGCAAUGGAGAAGUUUUGAUUCUGGUUUGUAGAUUGUUGGUCACAAUUCUGGUUGAAGCAGAACCAUCUCUUCUUUUUCAUGGAUAGCAUAGAUA